rnacentral:rRNA from 1 species
UACGAAGGGGGCUAGCGUUGCUCGGAAUCACUGGGCGUAAAGGGUGCGUAGGCGGGUCUUUAAGUCAGGGGUGAAAUCCUGGAGCUCAACUCCAGAACUGCCUUUGAUACUGGGGAUCUCGAGUCCGGAAGAGGUGAGUGGAACUCCGAGUGUAGAGGUGAAAUUCGUAGAUAUUCGGAAGAACACCAGUGGCGAAGGCGGCUCACUGGUCCGGUACUGACGCUGAGGUGCGAAAGCGUGGGGAGCAAACAGGG